UUAAUUUGUUUUAUGCUCAACUAAGAGACUGUUUACAUUCUGAUGACUCAGGUGUUUAAAAAUGGGUGUAAAAAUGUGUGUGUGCACAGGGUGAAGGAUAUGAAGGGGUCGGACCUCUAAAAAGAGCGCCCUAACAAUUCAUUAAUGAUCCUUCCGCAGGUUCACCUACGGAAA
rnacentral:misc_RNA from 1 species